GCAUUGAGUGCUUGCACUGAAUGGACGUCGACCGGCGCACGGGUGAGUANCGCGUAUCCAACCUUCCCGUUACUGCGGGAUAACCUGCCGAAAGGCAGACUAAUACCGCAUGUUCUUCGAUGACGGCAUCAGAUUCGAAGCAAAGAUCCGUCGGUAACGGAGGGGGAUGCGUCUGAUUAGCUNGUUGGCGGGGCGACGGCCCACCAAGGCGACGAUCAGUAGGGGUUCUGAGAGGAAGGUCCCCCACAUUGGAACUGAGACACGGUCCAAACUCCUACGGGAGGCAGCAGUGAGGAAUAUUGGUCAAUGGGCGGAAGCCUGAACCAGCCAAGUAGCGUGCAGGAGGACGGCCCUACGGGUUGUAAACUGCUUUUAUGCGGGGAUAAAGUGAGGGACGCGUCCCUUUUUGCAGGUACCGCAUGAAUAAGGACCGGCUAAUUCCGUGCCAGCAGCCGCGGUAAUACGGAAGGUCCGGGCGUUAUCCGGAUUUAUUGGGUUUAAAGGGAGCGUAGGCCGGGGAUUAAGUGUGUUGUGAAAUGUAGGCGCCCAACGUCUGACUUGCAGCGCAUACUGGUUCCCUUGAGUACGCNCAACGCCGGCGGAAUUCGUCGUGUAGCGGUGAAAUGCUUAGAUAUGACGAAGAACCCCGAUUGCGAAGGCAGCCGGCGGGAGCGCAACUGACGCUGAAGCUCGAAGGUGCGGGUAUCGAACAGGAUUAGAUACCCUGGUAGUCCGCACGGUAAACGAUGGAUGCCCGCUGUCGGCGCCUUGCGCCGGCGGCCAAGCGAAAGCGUUAAGCAUCCCACCUGGGGAGUACGCCGGCAACGGUGAAACUCAAAGGAAUUGACGGGGGCCCGCACAAGCGGAGGAACAUGUGGUUUAAUUCGAUGAUACGCGAGGAACCUUACCCGGGCUUGAAUCGCAGGAGAACGAUACAGAGAUGUUGAGGUCCUUCGGGACUCCUGCGAAGGUGCUGCAUGGUUGUCGUCAGCUCGUGCCGUGAGGUGUCGGCUUAAGUGCCAUAACGAGCGCAACCCCUCUCCCCAGUUGCCAUCGGGUGAUGCCGGGCACUCCGGGGACACUGCCGCCGCAAGGUGCGAGGAAGGCGGGGAUGACGUCAAAUCAGCACGGCCCUUACGUCCGGGGCUACACACGUGUUACAAUGGCCGGCACAGAGUGCCGGUGCGGCGCGAGCCGCAUCCAAUCUUGAAAACCGGUCUCAGUUCGGAC
rnacentral:rRNA from 1 species